GAUGAACGCUGGCGGCGUGCCUAAUACAUGCAAGUCGAGCGAACGGCCGAGAAGCUUGCUUCUCUGAUGUUAGCGGCGGACGGGUGAGUAACACGCGGAUAACCUACAUAUAAGACUGGGAUAACUUCGGGAAACCGGAGCUAAUACCGGAUAAUAUUUUGAACCGCAUGGUUCAAAAGCGAAAGACGGUCUUGCUUGUACUUAUAGUAGGGUCCUCGCUGCCUUAGCUAGUUGGUCAGGUAACGGCUGACCAAGGCAACGAUGCAUAGCAGACCUGAGAGGCUGAUGGGCCACACUGGAACUAAGACACGGUCCAGCCUCCUACGGGAGGCAGCAGUAGGGAGUCUUCCGCAAUGGGCGAAAGCCUGACGGAGCAAAGCCGCGUGAGUGAUGACGGUCUUCGGAUCGUAAAACUCUGUUAUUAGGGAAGAACAUAUGUGUAAGUAACUGUGCACAUAUUGACGGUACCUAAUCAGAAAGCCACGGCUAACUACGUG
rnacentral:rRNA from 1 species